UUCACCCAUAUUUUCAGAUACGUAACUUUACCCAUAUAUGGGUAAAUUAAUCUACCCAUAUUUGGAUGAAAAUAAAAACAUUUGCGCCAGAAUCACAGACCAACAAAUCAGUCAAAAAUAAUGUCGGGGAUCGACCGGAUCGACAUACUGUAACCACAAUCAACAGAUCAGCAAACGCCAUGGAACCGUGCAGUCCACCUUCAGGGAGAUUGACACUGCAACGGGGAAAGUGCUCAAACAGGUGCAUUGCCUGACCAGCGGGUUUCCUCUCGGGUUUCCUGCCAUCUGAAAAUCGACCAGCUAGUGCCUCUGUAAAACACGCCAUCGGUCCGAGUGGAAAUUUGGAAACGCAUAAAGACAACCCGAUAAGUGCCUAAACUACAAACCCACGAUUUGCAGCUUCCCCAGUAAACAAUUAAGUUUGAACGGCUAUUGCUCUCCCCAGAGAUCCAUGAGCAGGAAACAAUCUAUAGCGUAUCACUUCUAAGCAGUCUACUUGGCCUUCUCAUAGGGCAUAGUCCCUCGUAGAAGGAAGCAUCAGAAUGAGAUGGCACCAGCGAAAAAUUCAGCGUUUGGGGCGCUCUCAAUCCUCUGAGCCUUAUUUUGUUUUCGGAGAACAAGGAAAUCAGAGCUCGCCUAAUCAGUUCCGUACCAACCAUUUCGUUAUCGGGCGUCUGUCGAAACGAAGUGCCAAGAAGAAAUCCAGAUUUGGGGCAGCGACGUGUGUAAUGAGAGGACCCGCUUCGUUCACACAACAAGCGGAAAUAUGCGGAAGGAUUCCGAUGGCACCAGUAAUUCCUGGCAAGAGCUGUUAAUCAACAUAAUGCUACACCUGCUGUUCUUGGAAUGGUGGUCAUAAAUGCCUCGUAGGUUGCCCCGCCACCGAUUUUAAAAGCUAUAAUAUCUGUGAAAUACAAUAAAACCAAA